AGUUACUCGUUUAUUCUUUUUUUUAAUAAGAUUUUUUGCGUAUUGUACUAUUUUAUGGUAUAUGGAUUUAUGAAUAAAAUAAUUUAACCGUUUCCUCUGGACAUAGUUUUUUUAAAUAAAAAUUUUGAUUUAAAACCUGUUUUUUUUAUAAACAUAUUUUGCUACCAUGCACCUUGGACAGAUCUAUCUGAUGCCAUCUCUGAGGCCAUCGCUGAGAUCUCUGAGGCCAUCUCUGACCUACUUCAAGCAUACAAUGUGUCUUUUUUUUUUACUUUU